AUACGGAGGAUGCAAGCGUUAUCCGGAUUUAUUGGGUUUAAAGGGUGCGUAGGCGGUUUGCUAAGCGGGAGGUGAAAUGCCGGCGCUCAACGUCGGAAGUGCCUCCCGAACUGGUGGACUUGAAUGACUCUGCCGUGGGAGGAAUGUGUAGUGUAGCGGUGAAAUGCUUAGAGAUUACACAGAACACCGAUUGCGAAGGCAUCUCACGAAGGGUUGAUUGACGCUGAGGCACGAAAGCGUGGGGAUCAAACAGGAUUAGAUACCCUGGUAGUCCACGCAGUAAACGAUGAUGGCUAACCGCUGGAUCCAUCGGUUCAGUGGCCAAGCGAAAGCGAUAAGCCAUCCACCUGGGGAGUACGACCGCAAGGUUGAAACUUAAAGGAAUUGACGGGG
rnacentral:rRNA from 1 species